rnacentral:rRNA from 1 species
UGCAAGUCGUACGAGAAAGUUCUCUUCGGAGAGCGAGUAAAGUGGCGCACGGGUGAGUAAGACUUAGGUAACGUACCUUUUCGCUGGGGACAACGGGGGGAAACUCUCGCUAAUACCGAAUACUCCGAUCGAAACUGCGGUUUUGAUCGGGAAAGCCGUAAGGCGCGAAAAGAGCGGCCUGAGACCAAUUAGCUUGAUGGUGAGGUAAAAGCUCACCAUGGCUACGAUGGGUAGCUGGUCUGAGAGGAUGAUCAGCCACACUGGUACUGGAACACGGACCAGACUCCUACGGGAGGCAGCAGUUAGGAAUUUCGCACAAUGGGGGAAACCCUGAUGCAGCAACGCCGCGUGGGUGAGGAAGGCCUUCGGGUUGUAAAGCCCUUUUAGUCGGGAAGAAAAAAAUGACGGUACCGACAGAAGAAGCACCGGCUAACUCCGUGCCAGCAGCCGCGGUAAUACGGAGGGUGCAAGCGUUAUUCGGAAUUACUGGGCGUAAAGCGCGCGUAGGCGGUUCGUUAAGUCUGAUGUGAAAGCCCGGGGCUCAACCUCGGAAGUGCAUUGGAUACUGGCAAACUAGAGUACUGGAGAGGAGAGCGGAAUUCCUGGUGUAGAGGUGAAAUUCGUAGAUAUCAGGAGGAACAUCGGUGGCGAAGGCGGCUCUCUGGACAGUAACUGACGCUAAAG